AUUAACGGGCCAUGGGCUUAAUGA
rnacentral:siRNA from 1 species